rnacentral:rRNA from 1 species
GACGUAGGAGGCGAGCGUUAUCCGGAUUCACUGGGCGUAAAGCGCAUGUAGCCGGUUGCACAAGUCCGUUGUUAAAGCCCCUGGCUCAACUGGGGGAGGUCAAUGGAGACUGUGCGACUUGAGGGCAAUAGAGGCACGUGGAACUCCCGGUGUAGCGGUGGAAUGCGUAGAGAUCGGGAAGAACACCAGUGGCGAAGGCGACGUGCUGGGUUGCACCUGACGCUGAGAUGCGAAAGUGUGGGAGCAAACGGG